rnacentral:rRNA from 2 species
GCCCUAGUAACGGCGAGUGAAGCGGCAACAGCUCAAAUUUGAAAUCUGGCCCUCGGGUCCGAGUUGUAAUUUGUAGAGGAUGCUUUUGGCGCGGUGCCUUCCGAGUUCCCUGGAACGGGACGCCUUAGAGGGUGAGAGCCCCGUACGGUUGGACACCAAGCCUCUGUAAAGCUCCUUCGACGAGUCGAGUAGUUUGGGAAUGCUGCUCUAAAUGGGAGGUAAAUUUCUUCUAAAGCUAAAUAUUGGCCAGAGACCGAUAGCGCACAAGUAGAGUGAUCGAAAGAUGAAAAGCACUUUGAAAAGAGGGUUAAAUAGCACGUGAAAUUGUUGAAAGGGAAGCGUUUGCGACCAGACCUUUUCCCAGCGGAUCAUCCGGUGUUCUCACCGGUGCACUUCGCUGGGUUUAGGCCAGCAUCGGUUUCCGUAGGGGGAUAAAAGCCCUGGGAACGUAGCUCCCUCGGGAGUGUUAUAGCCCUCUGCAUAAUAUCCUUACGGGGACCGAGGACCGCGCUUCGGCAAGGAUGCUGGCGUAAUGGUCGUCAACGAC